AGUGAUGUGGAAGUGUUAACAAUUAUCUUUUAAUAUUUACAACGAUAAUCACAUCGUCAUAAUAAGAACCACCCUAAGGCACAAGUUGUUCUCGGAUCUACGUUUUGCGCUGCUCGCACGUAGAUUGCUUGUUAGUGGAGGAAGCUGAAUUUUAAAUGAAUGCAACUAUUAGUAUUUUUCGCCUCAGGUAUGGCAGUUAUCUACGUCAAUUCGCUACUGAGUUGUGAGAAUUUUAAUAACAUUGAAAAUGUCUUAAGCGUUUAACCGUGUAGCUAGAUGCUAAUUGGCGAAAAACAGAAUAUGUUUCAGGCGGCGGACAACGAGAGCGAGGUGGGCUAUGCAGUUUGAUGUCGUUGGUUCUGGAUGCAGUUUUCCUUAGGGUUUUUCUAAUUUCCGAAUGAGAAGAG